rnacentral:rRNA from 1 species
AACGGCCAUACCAUGCUGAAUAUACCGGUUCUCGUUAGAUUACCGAAGUCAAGCAUCAUUGGGCGCGGUUAGUACUUGGGUGGGUGACCACCUGGGAACACUGCGUGCCGUU